AUUGUUGCUUCCUGUUAUUUUUUUGUUAGAGUUGGAAUUUUGUUCAUGUGACUAUCUUCUUUUAGGUUUGUUGAAAGAUUACUUUCUUGCUUUUUCUAGAGCGUAGUUUCCCUCCUUGUGUUGGAGUUUUCUUUGUUAUCCUUUGAAGGGUUGGAUUUGUAGAAAGAUACUGUGUAAAUUUGUUUUUUUCAUUGAAAAUCUUGGUUUCUCCAUCUAUGGUAACUGAAAGUUUUGCUGGUUAUAGAAGCCUGGACUGGCAUUUGUGUUCUCUUAGGGUUUGUAUGACAUCUGCCCAGGAUUUUCUGGGUUUCAUAGUCUCUGGGGAGAAGUCAGUUAUAAUUCUGAUAGGUCUGCCUUUGUAUGCUAUUUGACCUUUUCAAUUGCUGCUUUUGUAUUCUUCCUUCCUUCCUUCCUUCCUUCUUUCCUUCCUUCCUUCCUUCCUUCCUUUCUAUCUCCUUUUCUCUUUCUUUCUUUUUUGUUUUUUUGCAUUUGGAGUUUUCAUUAUUAUGUGACGAGAGGAAUUUCUUUUCUGGUUCAAACUAUUUGGAGUUGUAUAGGCUUCUUGUAUGUUCAUGGGCAUCUCUUUCUUUAGGUUGGGGAAGUUUUCUUCUGUAAUUUUGUUGAAGAUAUUUGCUGGGCUUUUAAGUUGGAAAUCUUCCUUCUUGUCUAAACCUAUUGUCCUUAGGUUUGGUCUUCUCAUUGUGUCCUGGAUUUCCUGGAUGUUUCGGAUAUCUUUUUGCAUAUUGCGUUUUGAUUGUUGUGUCAACAUUUUCUAUGGUAUCUUCUGCACCUGAGAUUCUCUCUUCUAUCUCUUGUAUUCUGUUGGUUAUGAUUGCAUCAUUGGGUCCUGACUUCUUUCCUAGGUUUUCUAUUUCCAGAGUUUUCUCUUUGUGAUUUCUUUAUUGUUACUUCCAUUUUUAGAACUUGGAUGGUUUUGUUCAAUUCUUUCACCUGUUUGGAUGUGUUCUCCUGUAUUUCUUUAUGUCCUUCUUAUAGUCCUCCAUCAUCAUCAUGAGAAGUGACUUUAGAUCCAUAUCUUGCUUUUCUGAUGUGAUGGUGUAUCCAGGACUUGCUAUGGUGGGAGAGUUGUGUUCUGAUGAUGCCAAGCAAGUAACCUUGGUUUCUGUUGCUUCUGUACUUAUGCUUGCUUCCCACCAUCUGAUUAUCUCAAGUGUUCUCUGCCCUGCUCCUGAUUGGAGCCUGUCCUUCAUGUAAUCCCAUUUGAGUCAGAACUUCUCAGAGUUCAACUUUCUUUGUGAUCCUGUGAUGAUGUGAUGAUGAGAUUCUGGAUGCAUUAGAGUUCUUGGCAAUCAAGUUUCCUCUGAGACCCUGAGAUCCUGGUGUGACCAAGCUCCUUCCCAGGAUCCUGGGAUCUUAAGAUAGUGGGCAUGUUAGAGCACCUGGGAGUGGUACCUCCUAUGGGGGCCGUUGGACUGUCUGCUAAGUUUGAAAUCAAGUUGACCAGCGCCAACUGGAAGGAACUCAAUCUACUGGUCAGGCAGGGUUCUUGUUUCUGUAUGCCUGCUGUCCCCGGGCACCCUUGCUUCUGUUGGAACAGAUGUGUUCCAUUCACCAGUGAUCCUAAGAUCCUGGCUGUGCUAGGGCACCUGUGGGGUGGAGAUUCCUCUGGAGACUGUGGGCUAUAACAUAUUUUAAAUAUCAAGAGUGUAUAAAAAAAAAAAAAGAAAACACAGGUUCCAGAAGCCAGAAUUUGAGGAACAAUCUAGAACUGCAGUAACAUAGACAGUAGACAGACUUUGGCAGAAAAGUUUGGCUGUAGCUUUACCAGAGUAGUUUGAGUAGGUAUGGUUGGUUGGAUGGUAUUUUAAUAGAGACUAGAGAGAAAAUCAAAACCAAGUGGUUAGACUCAGGCAGGAGUGCAGGCAGUUAGACUCAGGCAAGAAUGCAGGCGGUUAGACUCAGGCAGGAGUGACAAACACAAAGUUCUUGAAGAGGAAAUAUAUCUAACAAAUAAGAAAGCCUCACAAACAAUUCAUAAGUGGGUAGUCUGGGAAAUGAAUGUAGCCAAAGAUGAUAAAUCAUGGGCUGAGCCUGGGAAUGUUCCAUCAAUUAGACGGCAAUCUCAAAGAAGCAGCAGGAAGAACAGUUAUCCUAGAGAAUGCUUUCAUGUGAUUGUCAACUUAUUUUAAAUCUUUUUAAGAUUUAUUUACUUAUUUUAUUUAUAUAAGUACACUGUUGCUGUCUUCAGACACACCAAAAGGUAUCAGAUACCAUUACAGAUGUUUGGGAGCCACCAUGUGGUUGCUGGGAAUUGAACUCGGGACCUCUGCAAGAGCAGUCAGUGCUCUUUACUGCUAAGCCAUCUCUCCAGCCCACAGUUGUUGACUUUCUUUAUACAUAAAUGUGAAUUUCGUGGAAACACCCAUCUGUGCUGUUUUGAUAAUCUGCCUACCCAAAACAUCUAAAUAUCCCUGUUGAUGGUAAAAGGGUUUCCACCAAAUUGUGGUACUAGGUUUCACCACAGGGUUGUUUGUUUCCCAAUAGACAAUUGUAAGUACCUAGUGCCACUUUUGAUUUUCACAACUGUGAGCAUCUAAUGCUGCUGGCAUAUAAGCAGAGCCUGAUGAUACUCUAAACAUCUUUUGAUGCCCAAGAUAACUGUCACCCACCACAGCAAAGAAUUAUGCCAACAGUGACAGAGCUAAGAAUCUGUAAAUGAUACUCUGGACCAGUACUUCUCAACCUUUGGGUUACAACCCAUUUGGGGAUCUUAUAUAUCUUGCACAUCAGAUAUUUACAUUAUAAUUCAUUACAGUAACAAAAUUGUAGUUAUGAAGUAGGAAUGAAAUAAUUUUAUGGUUGGGGGUCACCACAUCAUGAGGUGGCAUUAAAUGGUGGCAGCAUUAGGAAGGUUGAGAGCCACAAUUCUAGACUUAAAGUUGAAGCACAACAUUCUGUUACUAUAGUGGAUUUUUAAAGAAAACAAGCUAAAAUGAAGUGUCAGUUUUCAUGUUUAAAAAUAUAGUGUCUCAUAAAAAAGACCAAAUAAGAAACAGAGUUGGCUAAACUUAUCAUAUCCCAGCUUCAUUAGAUAUUCCAUCCAAGACCUGUGUGUAUGUAUAGAGCUAUAUACAUUAGGUUAUCUUUAAAAUGAUUUCAAACAUUAUAAAUUUGAUGCUUCUAUAUAUGACAUUAUUUAUUAGCUAUUCAAAUUUCUAAUUGGAUAUCUUAGCUUUUUCAUUAAAAACAUUUUUAUUUAUUCUUUGG
rnacentral:lncRNA from 1 species